CAUCGACGAGACGCCAAGUGUCAGUAGGAAAUUUUUUCAAAAAUUUUUUUGACUUUUUAGCUCUCUCUCGACCAGGAGUGCUUUGAAUUUUCAUCUCUCACGAAGUCGGACACAAUCAGACAGAGAAACGAUUGAAAUUUUAUAACCUCGAAGAACGCCUCCGUCUUCCUUUGUUACCUUUACGAGAAAAGGUUAAUGACCUUAACUGAACGUAAAUGCGAACCACUGACAAUGAGCAUGAGACCGAUGGUAACUAGGAAGCACUCAAGCAGCAAUCAUUAGAACUAAAACGGAUAAACGAGACGGGAAACCGUAGUUAAAGCUCGCUUCCUUAUAGGGACGCACAGACUUCCUUUCAUACGGCGAACCUUAAGCUCCGUAUUGACGAUUAAAGUUCCAUGAUAGCCGUCUCUGAUAGCGGACAUUUAAUAGGAUGAUGGAUUGCCAUAACUCAUCCCGUCGGAGUCUCGUCCGAGAGCAUCGAUAGUCCAUGGCAAAAGUCAAGAGCUAAUAGAACCCCUCGGCUGUAGUAUGUGGGCUGCGCGUAAGUCGACGAGUUUAAUCGUCACUUGUAAACGAAUUAAAUAUCCCGCGGAGCUUCAGCGACCAGACAAAUUAUCUCGUUACGUAUAGAGAAUGAGACAAAAAGAAACAAUGGAAAGAAAAUAAAUAAAAUUCUCGAACGAGAAUCGCCAUUUUUCUCCUACACUCGGCAAUCAGCAGCAGCGAGAGCUACAUUUUCUUUCGCUCGAGAUCGUUUACGCGGUACCGCGUGGCAUUCGUAUAUCAUAGAGGUUGUGUUUCGUCGUUAAUAAACGCAAAAAAAUAUUACGUCGCUAACCCACAGAGAUUGCUAUCUCGUAAUAACGUUGUAUCCACGAAAAUUGUACUAUCGAUCGGGAUCGCAUAAUUACCCAUAAUUCCUCGACAAACGCAUGCCUUUUCUAGUUUCACUCGAUAUAUACAUAUAUACGUUUUAUGAAUAACAGACUAAAUUCACUGUUGUUCCAUAUGUAACGGCGUGCCGACUCGUCCCACUUUCGCAAACGACUUUUCUUCGCAAUAGAAAAAGAUACGAUUACGAACGAACUUCUCUAACCGACCGAGUAUGAUUUUACUCUUGCAUAACGUGCAUAUCCGAGGACGUUAUUGUAUCGUCGCAUAGGAUCUUGUAGAGUCGUAUUUCUGUGCAAUUGAAAUUAGGCCUUCUUCUAAUGGAUUGUGAAAAUUCAUUCGUGACAUUACGAUUAAAUCGUACCGUGUCACGUGCACGUAUAUUUGCGCUAAAAGACUACGCGCAUUUUAAAAACCCUUUUCUUUUGUAUUUCAUCUAUUUAUACUACGCAGCGAUAGUGCGACAGAGUGUACGGCUUAGUAUGUUUAAGCACGCAUAUCAUUGUUCCAAGUCACGCGAGCAUGAAAAAGUAUGGCUCAAAUGACAGGUGAAGGGGAAAAAAGAUGGCGAAUAUUUUUACAGCAUUCUUUCGCUCUGUAACGACUGCUUGAUGUGUACAGUCACGUAAAAAAGUAUCAAGAAAAAUUUUAAUGAAUUAACCAUACCUAAAAUACGGAUUUCCGAAAUCAAUCGUCAUUUUAUAUUUCGAUCGUCAAUUAAUUCCCUAAUAAGUCGUACCAACCGCUUGGCUCCAGUGCGAAAUCCGAAUAAGAACACGAAAUCUGAUCGAACAUGACCGAACCUAACCUCACCCAUAACGCUAGACUGCGAUUGGACAUAAAGCGCAGAAAGUUCAAUCAAUCGUUCCGCAUAUCGAGUGGAAAGUCGAUAACGGCAAAGCGUUAGGUUAUAUCACGACUGUACAAACCGGAAAUGACAGUCUACAGACAGCAAUAACGUAGCAGCAAAUCUAUUCCUAGAAUUCCCAUCUCUCUUGUAUUCUCACUGAUACCUGAGAUUCCGAGGAGAUUUUUAUUGCGCUCAGUAAAUUUAUACGCGAGAACCUUUCAUGAGGUACAAGA